rnacentral:rRNA from 1 species
CUCUCGGCAACGGAUAUCUCGGCUCUCGCAUCGAUGAAGAACGUAGCGAAAUGCGAUACCUGGUGUGAAUUGCAGAAUCCCGCGAACCAUCGAGUCUUUGAACGCAAGUUGCGCCCGAGGCCAUUCGGUUGAGGGCACGCCUGCCUGGGCGUCACGCCAAACA